AUUGAACGCUGGCGGCAUGCCUUACACAUGCAAGUCGAACGCGAAAGGGGGGCAACUCCUGAGUAGAGUGGCGAACGGGUGAGUAAUAUAUCGGAACGUACCCAGUAGUGGGGGAUAGCCCGGCGAAAGCCGGAUUAAUACCGCAUACGACCUACGGGUGAAAGCGGGGGAUCGCAAGACCUCGCGCUAUUGGAGCGGCCGAUAUCGGAUUAGCUAGUUGGUGGGGUAAAAGCCUACCAAGGCUACGAUCCGUAGCAGGUUUGAGAGAACGACCUGCCACACUGGGACUGAGACACGGCCCAGACUCCUACGGGAGGCAGCAGUGGGGAAUUUUGGACAAUGGGCGAAAGCCUGAUCCAGCCAUGCCGCGUGAGUGAAGAAGGCCUUCGGGUUGUAAAGCUCUUUCGGCCGGAACGAAAUCGCACUCGUGAAUAUCGAGUGUGGAUGACGGUACCGGAAGAAGAAGGACCGGCUAACUACGUGCCAGCAGCCGCGGUAAUACGUAGGGUCCGAGCGUUAAUCGGAAUUACUGGGCGUAAAGCGUGCGCAGGCGGUUUUGUAAGCCAGUCGUGAAAUCCCCGGGCUUAACCUGGGAAUGGCGAUUGGGACUGCAAGGCUCGAGUGCGGCAGAGGGGGGUGGAAUUCCACGUGUAGCAGUGAAAUGCGUAGAUAUGUGGAGGAACAUCAAUGGCGAAGGCAGCCCCCUGGGUCGACAC
rnacentral:rRNA from 1 species